AACGAACGCUGGCGGCAGGCCUAACACAUGCAAGUCGAGCGCUUCACUUCGGUGAGGAGCGGCGGACGGGUUAGUAACGCGUGGGAACGUACCCUUUUCUAAGGAAUAGCCAUUGGAAACGAUGAGUAAUACCUUAUAAGCCCUUCGGGGGAAAGAUUUAUCGGUAAAGGAUCGGCCCGCGUUAGAUUAGAUAGUUGGUGAGGUAACGGCUCACCAAGUCUACGAUCUAUAGCUGGUUUUAGAGGAUGAUCAGCAACACUGGGACUGAGACACGGCCCAGACUCCUACGGGAGGCAGCAGUGGGGAAUCUUGGACAAUGGGCGCAAGCCUGAUCCAGCCAUGCCGCGUGUGUGAUGAAGGCCUUAGGGUCGUAAAGCACUUUCGCCAGAGAUGAUAAUGACAGUAUCUGGUAAAGAAACCCCGGCUAACUCCGUGCCAGCAGCCGCGGUAAUACGGAGGGGGUUAGCGUUGUUCGGAAUUACUGGGCGUAAAGCGUACGUAGGCGGAUCAGAAAGUAUAGGGUGAAAUCCCAGGGCUCAACCCUGGAACUGCCUUAUAAACUCCUGGUCUUGAGUUCGAGAGAGGUAAGUGGAAUUCCUAGUGUAGAGGUGAAAUUCGUAGAUAUUAGGAGGAACACCAGUGGCGAAGGCGGCUUACUGGCUCGAUACUGACGCUGAGGUACGAAAGUGUGGGGAGCAAACAGGAUUAGAUACCCUGGUAGUCCACACCGUAAACGAUGAAUGCCAGUCGUCGGGUAGCAUGCUAUUCGGUGACACACCUAACGGAUUAAGCAUUCCGCCUGGGGAGUACGGUCGCAAGAUUAAAACUCAAAGGAAUUGACGG
rnacentral:rRNA from 1 species